rnacentral:sRNA from 1 species
AUUAAUUAAUGGGAAAAAAAGCUACAAGAUAGUUAUUUUCUCUCCUUAUUGGCCUGUCUCUCCAUUCUCUGUCAGAAGAUGUGAUUGAUAUCCAAUGUUUCCUAAUCAUGUUUACCUUGAAAUGGUAAAUAACUACAAGCAACUACUAGGUGUCUUGCAUUGAGAGCUUUCUGAACACAAGAAAGCUCUAGGUCAUGAAGGUCAAGGCCUGAGGGAAGAACUUACCGAUGUAUUGUUAGAUGAACAUGAUGUCCAACUGCCUUGGACAUAUGUUAGUGUCUAUAGAUUAGCAUGGUUCUUAGCCUUUUUGGACAAGCUUGUGUUUGAGGUGGGCAAUGGUUAAUGCAACGACUCACAGCCUCUGUCAGUGCUGAGAACAGGUGACCCCAGUCUUCAAUGGAACAUCUAUCUGCAUCUUGAACCCCAACCCAAAGCUUACAGAACGUCACAGAAGAGAAAGGGGGGCGGGUGGAGAAUGUAAGAAUGGUGAAGGGUAAAAAUGCCGUGAAAAUGUCUUUUGGACAAGUCAGGUCUGCUGCACCUAGAAAUCCACAGCAACAGCAGCUGUCUGGAAAGACAGGGCCUAUCAGCAUUGCACUAUGGGAUAAGGCCCAUCCCUACAUCAACUCCAGGCAGGGGCACCAUUCUCAGGGGUGUAGUCACUGGGGAUCCACUCAUGUUCAUGGUCCAAUUCCACCUUCACCCACAUAGCAGCCUUAAUUAAAUGCAGUGGUCCACAAAGAACAGAGGAGAACAGAACGGAACGGAACGGAACGGAACAGAACUGAUGCAAAGAGCCAUGAGACCUGCAGGAACAAAGAAGGCAAGGCCAUGUCAAGGACCCCAGUGUCUCAGACUUGUGGGAUUGGCACAAAUUUCCAUGCACAUCAAGAAGCAAGGAGCUGAGCUGACAACCAAAGGAAAGGAUACAAGUCACUGCCCAUGGAAGGGUUUUGACAUUUGCUGGAGAUGAAUUUGAACUCAUCUGUUGGUAAAAACAGAAUCCAGUGUAGGACUGUGUGUAUGUGUGUGUUUGUGUGUUUGUGUGUGUGUGUGUGUGUGUGUGUGUGUGUGUGUGUGCAGAAUUUAUUAGAAUCAGAAAAACAAGGAUGGGUACAAGAAAAGUAACGUUAUGUCCUUAGAAACAGGGAGAUAAAGGAAUGAGGUUGUGCAGAACAGUACUAGGUUAUGCUUCCAGAAAAAUCUGCAAGACAGAUUGGAGUGGGGAUCAUUAAGCCAUAUUUGCCUUUUGUAGAGUCCGCUGUCUUGUCAGGAAGGGCCUGCCUUGGUAUUAAAGUGAGCUCGGGGAUUGGGCGGAAGCAGUCUGUGGGUGGCUUGGCCGGUGUGAAGGUGCUGGAUCAGACGAACUGCCAUAGGUUGUUAAGUUGAUUAUGCUCCAGCCCAGGAGCAGAAGUGAGGCAUGCACACCUUCUUCUCAAUUGUAAUGAAGCUACUGGAUGGCCAAGAGGUUUAAUACAGAGAAUAUCUGACAGCAUGCCCAGUCAGCCGAUCUUAGCAUUUUUACAUUUCUGUGUUAUGAAAUACUUGACAUGAACUUAAAUAUGAUAUCUAACAAUGAAAUGUGGUUCAGGACCAGCUUCAGCUAUCAAAUAAGAUCCUGUCUCAGAAAAUCAAACAUAAACACAUUCAAAAAAAUAUAAGAAAAUAGGUCAUGUCAAAAUUUGGAACUUAGGGGGAUGUUGGCCUGGAAACCAGGAAGGGGAAUAACAAUCGAAAUGUAAAUAAGAAAUACUCAAGUUAAUAAAGAUGAAAAAAAAUUUGGGACUUGGAUGGAGCUAAAGCAGUCCUUGGAGAGAGCUUACUGUUUUGCAUGGAAUCUUAGGAAAAUCACAAUGUAUUGGUAAAUCAUCAAUAGACUGAGAGUCAAAGUAUAGAAAACAAUAAGUUGAUCUAGGAAGUAAAUGGAACCAAAUUAAUAUCUCUCAUAGCUAUUCUUUAUCUGAUGAAAAAGUAUUUAAGCCAAAAUUAAUUACAAGAAAUGAAGAAUAUUAAUUAUUUUAAUAAAGGUAGCAUGUAGUAGAAGGGAUACAACAACUGAAGAUAAUAUGCAUUAUACCCUGACAUUUCCAAUAUCAUAAGAUAAGCAAUGAUAGAGAGAAAACUUUAAAUAGAACCUGGUAUAAUAAUAAUAGCCAAUGAUUUUAAUAGUCAAUUUUUAUCUCUAGAUAGGGCAACGAAACUAAAAGUGAACAAUAGCAAAAAACUCCCACAGAAUUAAAUCACUUACCACUCAACUGGAUAUAACAGCUAUAUAAAGAACAUUCUAUCCAAUAGAAACAGAAUAAUUUUUUUCAUGUGAUCAAAUAGUUUCUUCUUCAAAAGAGGCCACAUUCUAGGCAACGUACUAAGCCUUAACAAGUAGAAGAGAAUCAAAAUAUUUUUAUUGUGUGGAAUCAGUAUAUACUGCAACAAAAUUUAAAACCAACAUCAGGAAAAUGUCCAGAAAUUAUACAAGUCCAUGGAGAGCAAACAACGCACUCUUGAGUAACUAGUAAGUUGUUGUUGAAAUUAAGGAGAAAUUUUAAAGUUCCUAGAGCUGAAUGAAAAUUAAGAAUGGGUUGCUAGAACAUUAGGAUACAAUUGAAUUAGUUCUCUUCAAGAUUCCAGAUAAGCAACAGUGAUGAACUACAUAGUCUUCAGCAAAUGAGAACAAACUAAACAAAACAGCAAUAUAUGGUAAGGAAGAAUAAAUAUCAGACAAAAAACAAUGCAAUGUAGACUAAUAGAACAACACAGAGAUUCAAUCCAGGGUUUGGAAUUUUUGAAAACAAAGCAAAACAAGAUUAACAAUUUUGUAGCUAAAGUAACCAAAAGAAAGAAGAAAAGAUCCAAAUGUAAAUUAGAGUAGAAAAGAAGAAAUAGCUAGUGAUUCUAGUUAAAUAGGAGGAAUUAUUAGAGAGUACUUACAAAACUUAUUAACAGAAUAAAACUGAAACAUUUAGAAAAAAUGGACAAAUUCUUAGACAUUUAAAUCCAUAAAAUGAAUAAGAUUUACCAAUUAAAAUCAACUUAAUAAGUUCUACACAAAUAAAAAACAAUUAGAAAAUUAUCAACCUGAUUGAAGCAAUAGUAAAGCUUCUUAACGAAGAAAUUUCCAGGGAAUAGAUUCAUUGUUAGGUAAUGCUAUCCACCAGCAGUAACAUAAAACAGGGAAAGAAUGCUUCUAAACUCACUUUAUAAGGCCAACUAUGGUGGAUUCAAGAUGCUUGUCUCAGGGAGUGGCACUAUUAG